AUGGUUCUCGUUGUAGCACCGAUAUUUGUUGGUUGUAGCUCGCUGACAAACCGCGACCGUUCUUCCAGCUCGUCGGGCACGCGGUUCCAUCAUCCCUGUCGUCGGGGGUUUGAGCUUGUCGCAUCGCCAUGGCCCGAUGGUCGUAGCCAUGGAAAUCGAAGAUCGGCGGGCAGGCGAGGUGGGACUGUCGCCGCAAUCGCUCCCAAUAUGGGGUUUGGAGGUGAUGGGUUGGUAUACCCAUGGUCGAGAUCGAGGAAGUGGGUAACGCCGGCGACGGUUGUCCCGCCUCGCCUGCUCCCUUGGAGGGACGAGGAUGGGGUGCUCUCGGUGAAGGAGAGGUAG
rnacentral:rRNA from 1 species